UACGUAGGGUGCAAGCGUUAAUCGGAUUUACUGGGCGUAAAGCGUGCGUAGGCGGCUCGCUAAGUCGGUUGUGAAAUCCCUGGGCUUAACCUGGGAACCGCAGUCGAUACUGGCGGACUAGAGUACGGUAGAGGGUGGCGGAACUCCGGGUGUAGCGGUGAAAUGCGUAGAUAUCCGGAAGAACACCGAUGGCGAAGGCAACCACCUGGGCCUGUACUGACGCUGAGGUACGAAAGCGUGGGGAGCAAACAGG
rnacentral:rRNA from 1 species